AUUGAACGCUGGCGGCGGGCCUAACACAUGCAAGUCGAGCGGAGGAAGGGAGCUUGCUCCUGGAUUCAGCGGCGGACGGGUGAGUAAUGCCUAGGAAUCUGCCUGGUAGUGUGGGAUAACGUCCGGAAACGGGCGCUAAUACCGCAUACGUCCUGCGGGAGAAAGUGGGGGAUCUUCGGACCUCACGCUAUCAGAUGAGCCUAGGUCGGAUUAGCUAGUUGGUGGGGUAAAGGCCUACCAAGGCGACUAUCCGUAACUGGUCUGAGAGGAUGAUCAGUCACACUGGAACUGAGACACGGUCCAGACUCCUACGGGAGGCAGCAGUGGGGAAUAUUGGACAAUGGGCGAAAGCCUGAUGCAGCCAUGCCGCGUGUGUGACGAAGGUCUUCGGAGUGUAAAGCACUUUAAGUUGGGAGGAAGAGCAGUAAGUUAAAACCUUGCUAUUUUGACGUUACCAACAGAAAAAGCACCGGCUAACUACGUG
rnacentral:rRNA from 1 species